CCACGACAACCAAGGCAACUCUUAUAAAAUGAAGCACUUAAUUGGGCCUGGCUUACCAUUUCAGAGGGCGAAUCCAUUAUCCUCAUAUUGAGAGGCAGACAGGCAUGGUACUGUAGAUGAGAACUUUAUACCCUCAUCCACAGGCAGCUGGCAGCAGCCAGAAUGAGAGAGGGGUUGGGGGAGGGGAGAGAGGAGAGACAGACUAGGCCUAGUGUGGAUUUUUGAAACCUCAAAGCCCACUUCCAGCUGCACAGCUCUUUUAACAAGGACACAGCUCCUCCAACAGCCACAGCUCCCAAACACUUCAUCAAAUGGUGAUUUAUCAUGGAAAUAUAUGAGAAUGUAUGAGGUCAUUCUCAUUUAAACUACCAAUCAUGGGAUGGUUGCCUUGUCACAUGGGUGCUGGGAUCUAACUUCAAUUCUCAUGAUUACACAUGAUGGAUUGUGACCUGGAAGUGUAAGCCAAAGGAACUCUCCACUCGCCUGUCAAUUGCUUUAAGUCAGAAAGUUUUAUAACAGCAACAGAAUGAAACUGAUGCAGACUCAUAGCACGCUCCAUUGAACACUGAGACUCAAAGGGAGGCAUCUUUCCAAAGGGGAAUCCCACGAAGAGGAGCUGAGUAUCCAAUUGUAACUGUGGCUUAAGGAUCCAGAUGACAUCUCCAUGAAACCUUUGCUACCUGUUGAAGUUCCCAUCGCCUUCCAGUAGUUCCACACGAAGGCUACCAAACCUUUAACAGAUGAUCCUUUGGGGAGAAAACUUCAGCUCUAAAUUACAAGAAAGGUCAUGCCUUUCUAUAGAUGAGGCUCUACGUAGGAGGCUCCUUGUGGGGCAAGUGGACCAUGCCACAGACAGAAGAACUGGUGAGGCUGGACAGGCUCAGACCCUAGGAACUCUCAGAAUUGAGAAUGUCAGGAGUAGAUCCAUCUCCCUGCCAAGCUCUACUUGUUCUGGAAUAUGUGAGCAUGAUACCCCACUGAGAGGGUGAUGACCAUCAGACACAUAUGGACAACAGCCUGAAGUUUUUCUCCAUGCAAAUAGAGCAUCCAUAACACCUCAGAUUAACGCAAUGUGAUGCCUUUUCUCCUAGAUACCAUCCUACUCCUAAAAUGUUUAUAAGGUCCCUAUUCAUAUGGAAUAAAGUACACAAGUUAUUACACCAAGA
rnacentral:lncRNA from 1 species